AUACGUAGGUGACAAGCGUUAUCCGGAUUUACUGGGCGUAAAGGGCGUGUAGGCGGUCUUGCAAGUCAGAAGUGAAAUUCCUGAGCUCAACUCGGGCGCUGCUUCUGAAACUGCAGGACUUGAGUGCUGGAGGGGAUAGCGGAAUUCCUAGUGGAGCGGUAAAAUGCGCAGAUAUUAGGAAGAACACCGGUGGCGAAGGCGGCUAUCUGGACAGUAACUGACGCUGAGGCGCGAAAGCGUGGGGAGCAAACAGGAUUAGAUCCCCUGGUAGUCCACGCCGUAAACGACGAAUACUAGGUGUAGGGGGUAUCGACUCCCUCUGUGCCGCAGUUAACACAAUAAGUAUUCCGCCUGGGGAGUACGGCCGCAAGGUUGAAACUCAAAUGAAUUGACGGGG
rnacentral:rRNA from 1 species